rnacentral:rRNA from 1 species
AUUGAACGCUGGCGGCAGGCUUAACACAUGCAAGUCGAGCGGGGACUUCGGUCCUAGCGGCGAACGGGUGAGGAAUGCUUGGGAAUCUGCCCAGUAGCGGGGGAUAACGUUUCGAAAGGAACGCUAAUACCGCAUACGCCCUACGGGGGAAAGGGGGGGAUCUUCGGACCUCUCACUAUUGGAUGAGCCCAAGUCGGAUUAGCUAGUUGGUGGGGUAAAGGCCUACCAAGGCGACGAUCCGUAGCUGGUCUGAGAGGAUGAUCAGCCAGACUGGACAUGAGAAACGGUCAAGACUCCUACGGGAGUCAGCAGUGGGGAAUAUUGGACAAGGGGCGAAAGCCUGGUCCAGCCAUGCCGCGUGUGUGAAGAAGGCCUUCGGGUUGUAAAGCACUUUAAGCGAGGAGGAAUGGCUGAGGGUUAAUAACCUUCAGCAGUGACGUUACUCGCAGAAUAAGCACCGGCUAACUCUGUGCCAGCCGCCGCGGUAAUAC